rnacentral:tRNA from 1 species
AGAAAUUUAGGUUAAACUAGACCAAAAGCCUUCAAAGCUUUUAGUAAGUUAAAAACACUUAAUUUCUG